GCCUGUUCCAAUGCCCGACAGCCCUUUUUGGGAAGAAUUUUAUCCAAUCUGAAUCUCUGCUGGCACAACCUGAUGCCAUUUCCUCUUGUCCUAUCACUUUCUACUUGGGAGAAGAGACCAACACCAGACCAGCUGAGUUAAAAAUCAGUGGAUGCCAAAUGUCACCCAUUGGACCAUUCUGCAUGUGCACGAAAUUAGCAGGAACAACAGGACUGGAACAGAACCGAGGGAGGUGUAAAUAUGACCUCUGUAUUUCUGCACCUUGGCUGAUUAAAGUGUAUUUUAUUAAAAAAUAAAAAAAAAAAUCUGU